GUUUUAAUGGAAACUAAUGAAUAGUAUUUACGCUUUGUAAAUAUAUCAGUAUUUCUACAAAGAACAUCGUAUAACGAAAAUGUACCAUAGAAUUAGCGUGUAGUAUAAUGACAACUUUCUGGUUUCUUUUUUUAAUCGGGAUCCGCCCCAUUUUGUCCCUGACAGAGGCGGAUCUUAAGAGAAGUCUUUUGUCCUCCGCCGUGUAUGAUCCGUCUGUCAGACCCCGGAUCAACGCCUCCCACGCCGUGCACGUCCAGCUGGAUGUCCACGUGGUUUACAUCGUUGGUUUGAAAGAAAAAGAAAGUGCCUUUGAUCAAGCCUGCUUCAUAUAUGUG